AUUGAACGCUGGCGGCAGGCCUAACACAUGCAAGUCGAACGAGCGGCGGACGGGUGAGUAAUGUAUGGGACGUGCCUGAUAGUGGGGGAUAACUGCUGGAAAAGGUGGCUAAUACCGCAUACUAUCGGAUAACCCAUAUGGGAUUAGCUAGUAGGUGGGGUAAAGGCUCACCUAGGCGACGAUCUCUAGCUGGUCUGAGAGGAUGAUCAGCCACACUGGGACUGAGACACGGCCCAGACUCCUACGGAGGCAGCAGUGGGGAAUAUUGGACAAUGGGCGCAAGCCUGAUGCAGCCAUGCCGCGUGUAUGAAGAAGGCCUUAGGGUUGUAAAGGACUUUCAUCGGGGAGGCGUUACCUGCAGAAUAAGCACCGGCUAACUCCGUGCCAGCAGCCGCGGUAAUAC
rnacentral:rRNA from 1 species